rnacentral:lncRNA from 1 species
CUAUACACCAUAUUCGCUUUGAUAGAGUGUUUAUUAUCUACUGAAAGUUCGAGCGUUAUCUGUCGUUCCGCUGGGAAUUGGGAGAUUGCGAAACCGCUUGUGGUCGGCGGACUACUGCACAAGUGUGUGAUGUUGCGAAUUUCCAUGGGUUGCAAGUUCGUCGCACGUCGACGGGUGAACAACCAGAAGCUCUCUAAGAAGACCAGGCCGUCCCUUAUCUGGUCAUAGAGUGUCGUUAGCGACGGCUGCUAUUUGACAAUUCGUUUUUCAUCACGAAAAGGUCAUAAAUGAGAAAUAGUGACGAUGUAGUGACGAAAAUGGGUGCAUGGGGGGUGGUCUUAAAUCAGCAUUUUUUCUUGUAG